GGAGGCGGCCGUGCGGCGGUGCCCGCAGCCCGAGGAGCAAAGCGCGGCGAAUGAAGAGCGGCCGCUGGCCCUGUCGGGGCAGUCCUACUGGCUGGACCUGUGGCUCUUCGUCCUCUUCGACGUGGCGCUCUUCGUAUUUAUCUACCUGCUGCCCUGAUGGGCCGGGCCCAGAGCUCGUGGAUCAGGAAUCACUGGACGCACCUUCGGAACACAAGCAGGACCAUUUGGAGGAGAAGCACUUGCACAGCACAGACAGCAGUGGAUAACGAGACUUCCAUUGAUGGAAAGGCAGGAAGCUCCUGAGCUGGAGAGACGGGUACAUGCUGUAUUGCUGUACAGCCCACAAUAUAUUGCAAGUAUGGUCUUCAGGAUCGUGCCUGUAUCUUGCCUUUCCAUGUUCUAAAUUGUGCCUUUCAGGACAGGAGACAGCUUGACUGUGCUUUUGUAAUUUGCUUGAAGAAUAUAAAUGCAAAUAGGCACUGUUUGAAUAAAAUCCAGCAGAGACUGAAA